rnacentral:rRNA from 1 species
UACGUAGGGGGCUAGCGUUGUCCGGAAUCAUUGGGCGUAAAGCGCGUGUAGGCGGUCCGGUAAGUCCGCUGUGAAAGUCGGGGGCUCAACCCUCGAAUGCCGGUGGAUACUGUCGGGCUAGAGUGCGGAAGAGGCGAGUGGAAUUCCUGGUGUAGCGGUGGAAUGCGCAGAUAUCAGGAGGAACACCAACGGCGAAGGCAGCUCGCUGGGACGGUACUGACGCUGAAGCGCGAAAGCGUGGGGAGCGAACAGG